rnacentral:rRNA from 1 species
UACAGAGGGGGCAAGCGUUGUUCGGAAUUACUGGGCGUAAAGGGCGCGUAGGCGGCCUACUAAGUCGGACGUGAAAUCCCCGGGCUCAACCCGGGAACUGCGUCCGAUACUGGAAGGCUUGAAUCCGGGAGAGGUGAGUGGAAUUCCGAGUGUAGAGGUGAAAUUCGUAGAUAUUCGGAAGAACACCAGUGGCGAAGGCGGCUCACUGGACUGGUAUUGACGCUGAGGUGCGAAAGCGUGGGGAGCAAACAGG